AGAUCCUAUGAUCUCAUCCUUUGAGACGAUCAUCACCAUGUUUGCUGUGAAAGCAGUUUGCCUCCUCGCCACUGUCGCUAUGCUUGUUGCAGUGGUGGCUGCGGGAGCUCCAAAUAAGCAAGUCUGCUUUCUUCAACCUAACGGCUCAUUCUAUUGUGCAAAUUAUCAAAGAUGAAGAGAUGCCAAGCAUCCACAGAAGACUUUAACCACUAAAAACCCUGUGUAGUCAAUUUAAAUAAAGUAGUCAUGCAUACCUA